UUAUGGCGUCGAUCUUUAGAUCGGCGCACAUAUAGCUAUGAUGAAAUCUCUGACUGUUCACCGCUUUCUUCAUGCGCCAAAUAAUAUAGUACUCGAACCAAGACCUUCAUGUAUCUGGCGUAGGAAUAUACAUGCCACUUUUUGCGUUUAUUCCAUAAAUUGCUUGAAAAUCAUACAAUUUCAACAGUCCUAUACAUAGUUGACAACUCACCCACUUUCGUCGGACUACUUUUCGACCCUUAACCUGAUUAUUUUUUAUGACACGGUGAGUCAUGCUUAUCGCCCGAAUCCCCGAUUUCCGGAUUUGGUUCGUAAAUUAGGUUGUAUUUUUAACUUCCAGUUACAACCCAAGCUUGAUCUACGUAAACAAUGCCUGUGGCUAUGAUGUGUUUCAGUAGGCCAGUAAAUUAUCGGUGGAGGUGUAAAUAAUUAAUUGUUUUGACAAAUCAAAAUUUAAAAUGGCUUCCGAUAGAACAAGAUUGUUAUCAAGACCAGCAGGAACAAAUUGAACAAAGAGAAAGAGAAACAAUAUUUAUGUACAUGUCAAGGAAUCUUGGAAAACAACUACAUAAAAUAAAGUGAUCGAAAACAGUGUAGAUCUUACUGUACAUUUAGUACACAUUACACUGGUUAAUUAAAUAAUUGAAAAGUAAUUUCAAAUCCUCUAAAAUUGCACCAGGGACCUAUAUAUAAACAAUAUAUUAGUAUAUACAUGAUGUAGGUCCCUGUUAGCACAUACCGAAAAGGCUUU